rnacentral:rRNA from 1 species
AAGUCCCGCAACGAGCGCAACCCCUACUUUUAGUUGCCACCAUUUAGUUGGGCACUUUAAAAGAACUGCCAGUGAUAAGCUGGAGGAAGGUGGGGAUGACGUCAAGUCCUCAUGGCCCUUACGUGUUGGGCUACACACGUGCUACAAUGGCACUUACAAUGGGAAGCAAAGAGGCGACUCCUAGCUAAUACCCAAAAAUGUGUCUCAGUUCGGAUUGCACUCUGCAACUCGAGUGCAUGAAGCUGGAAUUGCUAGUAAUCGCGAAUCAGCGCGUCGCGGUGAAUACCGGUUCCCGGUCUU